CUCUCCUCCCCCAGGCUCUGCAACCCCUUUCUUCCCAUACACCUUCCAGUGCAGAUGCUGACAGGACAUGGAGCUGCUGCAGCUCCUGUAUCUGCUAAUAGGGCUGUUGGCCACUGCCCUCUCAGGUGCAAAGGGCAGAUUAGUGGAGCAGUCACCUCCUUAUUUGAUGGUGAGGACAGAAGUGUCUCAGUCAGUGACCUGCACCUUGAAGAACACAACCUACCUCUUCAUGAGCUGGUACCGGCAGGAUACCCAAGGCCAUCUGCACUUCCUGGUGCAAUCAGGAGCCCAGGGUGACCAGGAGAAAAUAAUCCAGGAGGGAACAUCCUAUCGGUCUGAGCGGGUCAGUAGCACAGAGCUCAGUUUGGAGAUGCAGAAUGUGACUCAGUCCCAGACCAUCUACUGCACCUGCAGUAAGGGCACA